AGUCGAACGAAGUAGCAAUACUUAGUGGCAGACGGGUGAGUAACAUGUAGGUAUCUACCCUUUGGCCUGGAAUAACACGAGGAAACUUGUGCUAAUACCGGAUAAGUCUUUACGGAGAAAGCUUUAUGCACCAUUGGAUGAGCCUGCACUUGAUUAGUUUGUUGGUGGGGUAAUGGCCUACCAAGACUGUGAUCAAUAGCUGAUUUGAGAGGAUGAUCAGCCACAUUGGGACUGAGACACGGCCCAAACUCCUACGGGAGGCAGCAGUGGGGGAUCUUGCACAAUGGAGGAAACUCUGAUGCAGCGAUGCCGCGUGAGUGAAGAAGGCCCUUGGGUUGUAAAGCUCUUUCGUCGGGGAAGAAAAUGACUGUACCCGAAUAAGAAGGUCCGGCUAACUUCGUGCCAGCAGCCGCGGUAAUACGAAGGGACCCAGCGUAGUUCGGAAUUACUGGGCUUAAAGAGUUCGUAGGUGGUUGAAAAAGUUGGUGGUGAAAUCCCAGAGCUUAACUCUGGAACUGCCAUCAAAACUUUUCAGCUAGAGUAUGAUAGAGGAAAGCAGAAUUUCUAGUGUAGAGGUGAAAUUCGUAGAUAUUAGAAAGAAUACCAAUUGCGAAGGCAGCUUUCUGGAUCAUUACUGACACUGAGGAACGAAAGCAUGGGUAGCGAAGAGGAUUAGAUACCCUCGUAGUCCAUGCCGUAAACGAUGUGUGUUAGACGUUGGAAAUUUAUUUUCAGUGUCGCAGCGAAAGCGAUAAACACACCGCCUGGGGAGUACGACCGCAAGGUUAAAACUCAAAUGAAUUGACGGGGACCCGCACAAGUAGUGG
rnacentral:rRNA from 1 species